UUUUGUUAAGACGCUGUCGGAGGUGUGAGCUUCAGCCUGUCAGCGGUCGUGGCUCCGUGGAGAGCAGCUCUAUCUCGGCCAUUGCCUCGGGAGUAGCCGCUCUUAUAACGUUAGUGGUUAACCGUGAGAUAUAAUUUAUUUUGGGUAUAUGAGACGAACAAUUGUUGCUCUUUUUAGACUUCUACUUAUUCCCGAGUGUGUCGAAUUAGUUAAGAGUUGUGUUAACGUUUAUAAUAUUAUUUUUUAACACUGUAUUUCACUUUCUGUACUAUAUCCCACUCUUCUUCUUUCCCCCACUGACAGCGUGCAGAAUAACAGCUAAUAUUAAUGGAUCAUUCUAUUCAAGAGAAUGUCAACUGGAACUUGGAUGUUUUCAUAACAGGCUUAAAGAUGAACAAAUUGAUAAAGAAACCCUCCUGCUGGACAUCCACUUCCAAAAGUGCACACCACACUGUUGUCUACAACUCCUAGGAAAAGAAUCCUCUUAAGUAAGACUGCUCCGUGGAUAUUUUAGGUUAAGCAGUGCUGAAACCGAAAGAACUAACACUAUUGAAAAUGUUUUGUGAGUUUAUAUGAAGAGGAAAGUUACGGUGUCCCUUUUUCACAUCCAUAACGCUUGUUUAUUUCUUUUUUUAUAGAAAACUUGUGCAUAGAUUUAUAUUUUAUCAUAUAAAUGCGGUUCUAUCAACAAGGGUUUAGUAAAAUACUUUUUAUAGUGUUUUGAAGUGUUAAGUUGUCUAACUAUUUAUAUUUACUUGUGCCACUUUAAUAACCUUGUUAAAUGUACACUCUAAAAAAUGCUGGGUUAUUUGUUUAACCCAACAGCUGGGUUGAGCCUGUUGGGUCAUUUUGUUGGGUUAUUUUCUUAGUGUUGGGUCAUUUUACGAGUAACCCAAACGCUGGGUUACCAGUCUGGUCCAAUUGAGUGACAGUUGAGAGAGUAAACUCCUCCCACUCCUCGACGCCUCAGACAAACUCUACCUUCGCGGGCAUUUUGAUCCACCUCAUCUCGAAAAGUUGUUAUUCGGAGAAUAAAAGGGUGAAGAAUAACAGCUAAUAUUAAUGGAUCAUUCUAUUCAAGAGAAAGUCGACUGGAACUUGGAUGUUCUCAUAACAGGCUUAAAGAUUAAAAAAUUGAUAAAGAAACCCUCCUGCUGGACAUCCACUUCCAAAAGUGCACGCCACACUGUUGUCUACAACUCCCAGGAAAAGAAUCCUCUUCAGUAAGACUGCUCCGUGGAUGUGUCAGGUUAAGCAGUACUGGAACCGAAAGAACUAACGCUCUUUAAAAUGCUUUGUGAGUUUAUAUGAAGAGGAAAGUUACGGUGUCCCUUUUUCACAUCCAUAACACUUGUUCAUUUCUUUUUUUUAUAGAAAACUUGUGCAUAGACUGAUAUUUUAUCAUAUAAGUGCGGUUCUAUCAACAAGGAUUUAGUAAAAUACUUUUUAUAGUGUUUUUAUGUCGCAUCCAUAACGCUGGAAAUGCCCUAAAGCCUUUUACACGUGCCACUUUGUUAACUGUAGGCCUAUAUGAGUUUUUGAAUUGUUAAGUUGUCAAACUAUUUAUAUUUACUUGUGCCACUUUAAUAACCUUGUUAAAUGUAUAUGUUUAAAUCUAAACUAGUGUAAUUUAUUGAUGUUAAUUUUCUUUAAAUAUGUAUAAACAUACAUUUCAUCAAAGUGUUUUAUAUGCCGUUUUAUUGUUCAUUGAGCAUAACAUAUUGCAUGAUUUUAUGAAUUCCUUUUGU